GACGAACGCUGGCGGCGUGCCUAAUACAUGCAAGUAGAACGCUGAAGAGAGGAGCUUGCUCUUCUUGGAUGAGUUGCGAAAGGGUGAGUAACGCGUAGGUAACCUGCCUGGUAGCGGGGGAUAACUAUUGGAAACGAUAGCUAAUACCGCAUAAAAUUGAUUAUUGCAUGAUAAUUAAUUGAAAGAUGCAAUUUCAUCACUACCAGAUGGACCUGCGUUGUAUUAGCUAGUUGGUGAGGUAACGGCUCACCAAGGCGACGAUACAUAGCCGACCUGAGAGGGUGAUCGGCCACACUGGGACUGAGACACGGCCCAGACUCCUACGGGAGGCAGCAGUAGGGAAUCUUCGGCAAUGGGGGGAACCCUGACCGAGCAACGCCGCGUGAGUGAAGAAGGUUUUCGGAUCGUAAAGCUCUGUUGUAAGAGAAGAACGGGUGUGAGAGUGGAAAGUUCACACUGUGACGGUAUCUUACCAGAAAGGGACGGCUAACUACGUG
rnacentral:rRNA from 1 species